rnacentral:rRNA from 1 species
GACGAACGCUGGCGGCGCGCUUAACACAUGCAAGUCGAGCGAAGCGGCGAACGGGUGAGUAACACGUUAGUAACCUGCCUUUGUCCCGGGAAUAGCCUCGGUAAACCGGAAUUAAUACAAGAUAGUCAACUAUGGACUCGCGUCCCAUUAGUAAGUUGGUGAGUAACAGGCUACCAAGGCAACGAUGGGUAGACGGCGUGAGAGGGGGAACCGACACAUUGGAACUGAGAAACAGUCCAAACUCUACGGGAGGCAGAAGUGGGGAAUAUUGCACAACGGGGGAAACCCUGAGGCAGUGACGCCGCGUGAGCGAUGAAGUUUUUCGAAUCGUAAUGCUCUGUCAUAUGGGAAGCGGUACCAUAGGAGGAAGCCCCGGCUAACUACGUGCCAGCAGCCGCGGUAAUUC